UACGUAGGCGGAUUUGUAAGUCAGUGGUGAAAGCCCGGAGCUUAACUCUGGAACUGCCAUUGAUACUGCAAACCUUGAGUACAGUUGAGGUGGGCGGAAUGCAGCAUGUAGCGGUGAAAUGCUUAGAUAUGCUGCAGAACACCGAUUGCGAAGGCAGCUCGCUAAACUGUAACUGACGCUGAGGCACGAAAGCGUGGGGAGCGAACAGGAUUAGAUACCCUGGUAGUCC
rnacentral:rRNA from 1 species